rnacentral:rRNA from 1 species
GACGAACGCUGGCGGCGUGCUUAACACAUGCAAGUCGAACGGUGAAGCGAGUGCUUGCACUCGUGGAUCAGUGGCGAACGGGUGAGUAACACGUGAGUAACCUGCCCAUCACUCUGGGAUAAGCACUGGAAACGGUGUCUAAUACUGGAUACGACCAACCCUUGCAUGGGGUGGUGGUGGAAAGAUUUAUCGGUGAUGGAUGGACGCGCGGCCUAUCAGCUUGUUGGCGGGGUAAUGGCCCACCAAGGCGACGACGGGUAGCCGGCCUGAGAGGGUGACCGGCCACACUGGGACUGAGAGACGGACCAGACUCCUACGGGAGGCAGCAGUGGGGAAUAUUGCACAAUGGGCGAAAGCCUGAUGCAGCGACGCCGCGUGAGGGAUGACGGCCUUCGGGUUGUAAACCUCUUUCAGCAGGGAAGAAGCGAAAGUGACGGUACCUGCAGAAGAAGCACCGGCUAACUACGUG